AUUGAACGCUGGCGGCAGGCCUAACACAUGCAAGUCGAGCGGAUGAAGGGAGCUUGCUCCUGGAUUCAGCGGCGGACGGGUGAGUAAUGCCUAGGAAUCUGCCUGGUAGUGGGGGAUAACGUCCGGAAACGGGCGCUGAUACCGCAUACGUCCUGAUGGAGGAAGUGGGGGAUCUUCGGACCUCACGCUAUCAGAUGAGCCUAGGUCGGAUUAGCUAGUUGGUGGGGUAAAGGGCUACCAAGGCGACGAUCCGUAACUGGUCUGAGAGGAUGAUCAGUCACACUGGAACUGAGACACGGUCCAGACUCCUACGGGAGGCAGCAGUGGGGAAUAUUGGACAAUGGGCGAAAGCCUGAUCCAGCCAUGCCGCGUGUGUGAAGAAGGUCUUCGGAUUGUAAAGCACUUUAAGUUGGGAGGAAGGGCAGUAAGUUAAUACCUUGCUGUUUUGACGUUACCAAAAGAAUAAGCACCGGCUAACUUCGUG
rnacentral:rRNA from 1 species